UUGGUAUGUUUAUGCUUUGAAAGUUAUGGUUGGUUUGGUAUAGUUUAAUGUUUUACCAAGUAUUGUCAUUUUGGGCACUUCCAAAUGCUUGUAUAUAAGGUUCUAUGUUGGUGUUUUAUGAUGUUAUGAAAAUGGUUAUUUGAGAUAGGUUUUGGUAGGUGUUUUGAAUUAGACUAUAUGCAUGAACUAAAGUGUUUUUGGCU
rnacentral:lncRNA from 1 species